UUAAGUUAUUAAGGGCGCACGGUGGAUGCCUUGGCACUAGAAGCCGAUGAAGGACGUUACUAACGACGAUAUGCUUUGGGGAGCUGUAAGUAAGCUUUGAUCCAGAGAUUUCCGAAUGGGGAAACCCAGCAUGAGUUAUGUCAUGUUAUCGAUAUGUGACAUAUCAGAAGGCACACCCGGAGAACUGAAACAUCUUAGUACCCGGAGGAAGAGAAAGAAAAUUCGAUUCCCUUAGUAGCGGCGAGCGAAAUGGGAAGAGCCCAAACCAACAAGCUUGCUUGUUGGGGUUGUAGGACACUCUAUACGGAGUUACAAAGGACGACAUUAGACGAAUCAUCUGGAAAGAUGAAUCAAAGAAGGUAAUAAUCCUGUAGUCGAAAAUGUUGUCUCUCUUGAGUGGAUCCUGAGUACGACGGAGCACGUGAAAUUCCGUCGGAAUCUGGGAGGACCAUCUCCUAAGGCUAAAUACUCUCUAGUGACCGAUAGUGAACCAGUACCGUGAGGGAAAGGUGAAAAGCACCCCGGAAGGGGAGUGAAAUAGAACCUGAAACCGUGUGCUUACAAGUAGUCAGAGCCCGUUAAUGGGUGAUGGCGUGCCUUUUGUAGAAUGAACCGGCGAGUUACGAUUUGAUGCAAGGUUAAGCAGUAAAUGUGGAGCCGUAGCGAAAGCGAGUCUGAAUAGGGCGUUUAGUAUUUGGUCGUAGACCCGAAACCAGGUGAUCUACCCUUGGUCAGGUUGAAGUUCAGGUAACACUGAAUGGAGGACCGAACCGACUUACGUUGAAAAGUGAGCGGAUGAACUGAGGGUAGCGGAGAAAUUCCAAUCGAACCUGGAGAUAGCUGGUUCUCUCCGAAAUAGCUUUAGGGCUAGCCUCAAGUGAUGAUUAUUGGAGGUAGAGCACUGUUUGGACGAGGGGCCCCUCUCGGGUUACCGAAUUCAGACAAACUCCGAAUGCCAAUUAAUUUAACUUGGGAGUCAGAACAUGGGUGAUAAGGUCCGUGUUCGAAAGGGAAACAGCCCAGACCACCAGCUAAGGUCCCAAAAUAUAUGUUAAGUGGAAAAGGAUGUGGCGUUGCCCAGACAACUAGGAUGUUGGCUUAGAAGCAGCCAUCAUUUAAAGAGUGCGUAAUAGCUCACUAGUCGAGUGACACUGCGCCGAAAAUGUACCGGGGCUAAACAUAUUACCGAAGCUGUGGAUUGUCCUUUGGACAAUGGUAGGAGAGCGUUCUAAGGGCGUUGAAGCAUGAUCGUAAGGACAUGUGGAGCGCUUAGAAGUGAGAAUGCCGGUGUGAGUAGCGAAAGACGGGUGAGAAUCCCGUCCACCGAUUGACUAAGGUUUCCAGAGGAAGGCUCGUCCGCUCUGGGUUAGUCGGGUCCUAAGCUGAGGCCGACAGGCGUAGGCGAUGGAUAACAGGUUGAUAUUCCUGUACCACCUAUAAUCGUUUUAAUCGAUGGGGGGACGCAGUAGGAUAGGCGAAGCGUGCGAUUGGAUUGCACGUCUAAGCAGUAAGGCUGAGUAUUAGGCAAAUCCGGUACUCGUUAAGGCUGAGCUGUGAUGGGGAGAAGACAUUGUGUCUUCGAGUCGUUGAUUUCACACUGCCGAGAAAAGCCUCUAGAUAGAAAAUAGGUGCCCGUACCGCAAACCGACACAGGUAGUCAAGAUGAGAAUUCUAAGGUGAGCGAGCGAACUCUCGUUAAGGAACUCGGCAAAAUGACCCCGUAACUUCGGGAGAAGGGGUGCUCUUUAGGGUUAACGCCCAGAAGAGCCGCAGUGAAUAGGCCCAAGCGACUGUUUAUCAAAAACACAGGUCUCUGCUAAACCGUAAGGUGAUGUAUAGGGGCUGACGCCUGCCCGGUGCUGGAAGGUUAAGAGGAGUGGUUAGCUUCUGCGAAGCUACGAAUCGAAGCCCCAGUAAACGGCGGCCGUAACUAUAACGGUCCUAAGGUAGCGAAAUUCCUUGUCGGGUAAGUUCCGACCCGCACGAAAGGCGUAACGAUUUGGGCACUGUCUCAACGAGAGACUCGGUGAAAUCAUAGUACCUGUGAAGAUGCAGGUUACCCGCGACAGGACGGAAAGACCCCGUGGAGCUUUACUGUAGCCUGAUAUUGAAAUUCGGCACAGCUUGUACAGGAUAGGUAGGAGCCUUUGAAACGUGAGCGCUAGCUUACGUGGAGGCGCUGGUGGGAUACUACCCUAGCUGUGUUGGCUUUCUAACCCGCACCACUUAUCGUGGUGGGAGACAGUGUCAGGCGGGCAGUUUGACUGGGGCGGUCGCCUCCUAAAAGGUAACGGAGGCGCUCAAAGGUUCCCUCAGAAUGGUUGGAAAUCAUUCAUAGAGUGUAAAGGCAUAAGGGAGCUUGACUGCGAGACCUACAAGUCGAGCAGGGUCGAAAGACGGACUUAGUGAUCCGGUGGUUCCGCAUGGAAGGGCCAUCGCUCAACGGAUAAAAGCUACCCCGGGGAUAACAGGCUUAUCUCCCCCAAGAGUUCACAUCGACGGGGAGGUUUGGCACCUCGAUGUCGGCUCAUCGCAUCCUGGGGCUGUAGUCGGUCCCAAGGGUUGGGCUGUUCGCCCAUUAAAGCGGUACGCGAGCUGGGUUCAGAACGUCGUGAGACAGUUCGGUCCCUAUCCGUCGUGGGCGUAGGAAAUUUGAGAGGAGCUGUCCUUAGUACGAGAGGACCGGGAUGGACAUACCUCUGGUGUACCAGUUGUCGUGCCAACGGCAUAGCUGGGUAGCUAUGUGUGGACGGGAUAAGUGCUGAAAGCAUCUAAGCAUGAAGCCCCCCUCAAGAUGAGAUUUCCCAACUUCGGUUAUAAGAUCCCUCAAAGAUGAUGAGGUUAAUAGGUUCGAGGUGGAAGCAUGGUGACAUGUGGAGCUGACGAAUACUAAUCGAUCGAAGACUUAAUCAA
rnacentral:rRNA from 1 species